GCGCCCGUAGCUCAGAAGGAAAAAGAGCAGCGGCCUUCUAAGCCGCAGGUCGGGGGUUCGAGUCCUCCCGGGCGCGCCA
rnacentral:tRNA from 1 species